CAGCCGCCGCGGGAAUACGUAGGGUGCGAGCGUUAAACGGAAUUACUGGGCGUAAAGCGUGCGCAGGCGGUUGUGUAAGACAGGUAUGAAAUCCCCGGGCUUAACCUGGGAACUGCGCUUGUGACUGCACAGCUAGAGUAUGGCAGAGGGGGGUGGAAUUCCACGUGUAGCAGUGAAAUGCGUAGAGAUGUGGAGGAACACCGAUGGCGAAGGCAGCCCCCUGGGCCAAUACUGACGCUCAUGCACGAAAGCGCGGGGAGCAAACAGGAUUAGAUACCCCUGUAGUCCCUGUCUCUUAUAC
rnacentral:rRNA from 1 species